rnacentral:misc_RNA from 1 species
UCCCGCUUAUCACGGGCAGUUCCCCUGGAGUGCCCAGCCUAACCUGAUGGCAACUAAGGGUGUGGGUUGCGCUCGUUGCCGGACUUAACCGAACAUCUCACGACACGAGCUGACGACAGCCAUGCAGCACCUGUCCACCUGCCCCUUGCGGGGAAAACCUGUCUCCAGGCCGGUCAGGGCAUGUCAAGGGUUGGUAAGGUUCUGCGCGUUGCUUCGAAUUAAGCCACAUGCUCCACCGCUUGUGCGGGCCCCCGCCAAUUCCUUUGAGUUUCAACCUUGCGGCCGUAGUCCCCAGGCGGUUCACUUAAUGCGUUAGCUGCGGCACCGAGGGGAACCCCCGACACCUAGUCUGCAUCGUUUACAGCGUGGACUAC